rnacentral:rRNA from 1 species
AUGUCAGGCGAGGAGGGUUCGUCGAAGGCGCGCACCACCAGGAGCGGGUCCAAGAGAGCGACCAAGGCAGCGGUGUCCGGCGACGAGGAGUAUGCGCUGACGCGGCGCCACCGUGCUCCGAUGGAGAAGAGCGCACUGAGGUCGUGCACCACCAAGCGAAAGGCGGAGGAGUCUGUCCGCAUCAGCAGGAGUAAGGCGGCGGCGCAGGGAGCGGCGGCUGCCAAAGGCGAUGAUGAGGAGGUUCCUGCGAAGAAGGGCCGGCUGCCGCAGGAGGAGAUCCAUCGCAUCAUCGCCCGGGAUCAGGAUAGGGACCGUCUCCCCAUCGGCAUCGUGGACCUGAAGCGACGCAACCCUGACUUGAUUCCGUCGCCGGAAGAGGAGAUGGACGAGGAGAUGAUGGACCUCUACGUGGAGGCGCGCGUGACUUACCAGGUUCGGGAGCGUUUCCCAAAAUUCCGGGCCUGGGUCCGCAGCGAGCACCUGAAGAAGGGCUAUGUCGAGGUUGACAAUGACAUCCUCGUUGGAUUGGAAGAUACCAAGGCAUGGGAGGAGGAACUUAAGGGCAGACUUAGACGCAGGAAGAAUUUAAGGCAGAGCAAGCCCCAUGCAUGA